GAUGAACGCUGGCGGCGUGCCUAAUACAUGCAAGUCGAGCGAACAGACGAGGAGCUUGCUCCUCUGACGUUAGCGGCGGACGGGUGAGUAACACGUGGAUAACCUACCUAUAAGACUGGGAUAACUUCGGGAAACCGGAGCUAAUACCGGAUAAUAUAUUGAACCGCAUGGUUCAAUAGUGAAAGACGGUUUUGCUGUCACUUAUAGAUGGAUCCGCGCCGCAUUAGCUAGUUGGUAAGGUAACGGCUUACCAAGGCAACGAUGCGUAGCCGACCUGAGAGGGUGGUCGGCCACACUGGAACAGAGCCACGGUCCAGACUCCUACGGGAGGCAGCAGUAGGGAAUCUUCCGCAAUGGGCGAAAGCCUGACGGAGCAACGCCGCGUGAGUGAUGAAGGUCUUCGGAUCGUAAAACUCUGUUAUUAGGGAAGAACAAAUGUGUAAGUAACUAUGCACGUCUUGACGGUACCUAGUCAGAAAGCCACGGCUAACUACGUG
rnacentral:rRNA from 1 species